CUUUGGCGAAUAAUUGCCUGACUGGGACACUAAGGAGCGAAUUUAUAAGGGAUAUAUGUACAGACAUAGCAUCUCAUAGCAUCGCUUACAUAAACAACGAGGAAAGAAAUAAAGUUUCUUUGCCAAUUGUCACUAAAUACCCACAUCUCAAGGAUGCUAUAGGAAGUGGAUUCGUAUGUCAUAACUCAUAGAGUAAUUAAACGUACAGGUAUAUUUAAAUUUUGCGAAGUGAUCUUGCGUGACAGUAUAUUUAGCACAAACUUCUUUUACCACAAACGACGACAGGCAAGCAUUUCUGCCUGAAUUUGAACUUGUUCCUAUUAUUGUGUUUAGGCUACACGAAAGAAUGAUUCUGAUAAGCAAAUUUUUCUAUGUUCCUUUACUGCAAGAACAGUCAAUUUCCCAAGAAAGAAUUAAAUGAUGCUCUGUUUAUAGCUACAAAGCAGAGCUAAAACUUCUAAUCUAGUUAGAUCAGUUUAUGUUUCCCACAUAUAUCAUAAUGAUCAAAGUGAAGAAUGUCUAAGUGUAAGUCAACAUUCUGCUAUUUAAGGAAAAUGAACAAGUGUGCGCUUUUCUUCAAAAAUUAUAAAUAUAUACAAUAAGUGGUGAUUUGAAAAUUUUUAGGGGUCUUGGUCUGAAUCAAUCAAAAAUCGACUUAAACAUGUUCGAAAAAACGAGAACAAAAAGAAACGAAAGUCAUUGACUGUUGACUUUGAUUUCCAGGGCAGCGUGACUCAUCCUCGGAAAGGAAGGCCAAGACAAACAAAUAUCUGGAGCGAAGUACCAUCAUGUAACAACACAACGGAGACCAUUCACAAGGAGCAUAUUUUACACUUGCAAAACGAAGAAACAUAUUGACUACAGUUGUUCCUGUUAAAGAUAUCGUACAACAAUAUCCUCCUUUAUCCACACUUAAAGGGUUUUAGAUUCGCCAUGAAUACUGCAGAGUGAUGAGAGAUCAUUCUGCCGUUAAAGACAUGAAGUCGUCAUUCUCUAAUUAUCGAAAAGCAAUCUUGAAGUACCUAAAAAAACAGUAUCAGAAGAAAUAGAGGACUCCUCCGGAGACUUUGAAACAACAAGUUCAGUGAUGCUGUUAGUCCAUUUGCUAACCAAGAAAACGUCUGAAAAUAGCCCAGCAUGAUGGAAAUGCUGUCGAUGAUGAUUUGCCGUACAAAAUAACCCGCACCACCAAUCCACGAGUUUUGGUUAUUGGUGAAAACAUACUGAAACCUGACCGGCUACUAUUGUGCGUCGAAGGACGACAACUCGUUGACGUAACUUCAUUUUCUUUAGACACAGUCCUUUUUACGCUCUAUGCAACAUACUAUGUAUUUUCUAUAGCUUAUUCCCAAGAUCAUAAGGAUGUAUUUCUUUUUAUUGAUUCCGUUUUUGUUGGGUUGCAGCACACUGCUACCAAUAGAAUUAUCUUGCAAAAAUUUAUUAAAGCUCUUUGCCAGUUUAAAGUAAA